AGGGGUGAAAGGCCAAUCAAACCCGGAGAUAUCUCGUUCUCCCCGAAAUAGCUUUAGGGCUAGCGUCGCGCGUUCACCGCCGGAGGUAGAGCACCGGAUGGACGAGGGGGCUUCGCCGCCUACCGAAUCCAACCGAACUCCGAAUGCCGGCGGCCCAGAGCGCGGCAGUCAGAGCAUGUGGGCUAAGCUGUGUGCUCGAGAGGGAAACAGCCCGGACCGCCCGCUAAGGUCCCCAAGUUCCAGCCGAGUGGCAAAGGAUGUGCGUCCGCCCAGACAACCAGGAUGUUGGCUUAGAAGCAGCCAUCCAUUCAAAGAGUGCGUAACAGCUCACUGGUCGAGUGGACAUGCGCCGACAAUACACGGGGCUAAGCUGGACACCGAAGCGGCGGGAUUUUAAUUCAUUAGAAUCGGUAGGGGAGCUUCCCAUGGGCGGAGAAGCCGGAGGGCGACCGACGGUGGAGCGCAUGGGAGUGAGAAUGCUGGCAUGAGUAGCGAGAGACGAGAGAGUAACUCGUCCGCCGUGAACCCGAGGUUUCCUGGGCAAGGCUAAUCCUCCCAGGGUCAGUCGGGGGCUAAGGCGAGGCCGGUAGGCGUAGCCGACGCGCAGCAGGCAGACAUUCCUGCACCGCGCACGCGGCGCUACGACCGACGGGGCGACGGAUGGGGGUGGCUCGGCGGGGUUCUGGACGUCCCCGUGAUGGAGCGCGGCCCGCGGACCAGGGAAAUCCGGUCCGCAUUGAGGGCGAGGCUCCGGACGAAGCGACUGAGCGAAGCGAGUGAGCCCGAGGUCCCUAGAAAAACCCCUAGGCAGGCGCGUGCGCGCCCGUACCGCAAACCGACACAGGUGGGUGGGUAGAACAUACCGAGGCGAUCGGGUCAACCAUGGUCAAGGAACUCGGCACAAUGGCCCCGUAACUUCGGGAGAAGGGGUGCCCGCGCGUACGUGAACCGGCUUGCCCGGGGAGCGGAGGCGGGCCGCAGUGGAGAGGCCCAAGCGACUGUUUACCAAAAACACAGGACUCUGCAGAAGCCGCAAGGCGACGUAUAGGGUCUGACGCCUGCCCGGUGCCGGAAGGUCACGCGGAGGAGUUAGCCGUUAAGGCGAAGCCCCGAAGCCAAGCCCCGGUAAACGGCGGCCGUAACUAUAACGGUCCUAAGGUAGCGAAAUUCCUUGUCGGGUAAGUUCCGACCUGCACGAAAGGCGCAACGACUUGGGCGCUGUCUCGACCAUGGACCCGGUGAAAUUGCACUGGUCGUGAAGAUGCGACUUACCCGCGGAAGGACGGAAAGACCCCGUGAACCUUCACUGCAGCUUGGCAUUGGCCGCUGGUCCCGCGUGUAGAGGAUAGGCAGGAGGCUAAGAUCCGGAGGCGCCAGCCCCCGGGGAGCCGCCCUUGGAAUACUGCCCUCGCGCGACCGGCGUCCUAACCCGAGGCCGUCAACCGGCUCGGGGACCGUGCCAGGCGGGCAGUUUGACUGGGGCGGUCGCCUCCUAAAGGGUAACGGAGGCGCGCGAAGGUCCGCUCGGGACGGUCGGCAACCGUCCUUUUGAAUGCAAGAGUACAAGCGGGCUUGACUGCGAGGCCCACAAGCCGAGCAGGUGCGAAAGCAGGCUCUAGUGAUCCGGCGGCCCCGAGUGGGUGGGCCGUCGCUCAACGGAUAAAAGGUACUCCGGGGAUAACAGGCUGAUCUUGCCCAAGAGUCCACAUCGACGGCAAGGUUUGGCACCUCGAUGUCGGCUCAUCGCAUCCUGGGGCUGAAGUCGGUCCCAAGGGUUGGGCUGUUCGCCCAUUAAAGCGGUACGCGAGCUGGGUUCAGAACGUCGUGAGACAGUUCGGUCCCUAUCCUCCGUGGGCGCAGGAGAAUCGAUGGAGGCUGCCCCCAGUACGAGAGGACCGGGGUGGACGCACCUCCGGUGAACCGGUUGUCGACCAACGGCACGGCCGGGUAGCCGCGUGCGGCGCGGAUAACCGCUGAAGGCAUCUAAGCGGGAAGCCGUUCCAGGGAUUAGUUCU
rnacentral:rRNA from 1 species